CAUAGUUAGAGAGUUUGGAAAAAGUCCAUUCAUUCACUUCACUGUUGAUCCAAAAAAGGAGGAAUUAUAGCAAAAAAGGGGAAAAAAAAUCUUAUUGACUCCAAAGCGUGAAUCAGAUUUCUUAUUGGAUUAACUAUCACAGACCUCUAUAAACCAAUAUUAAACAUAGUGGUGAGUCUGAUCAAACAAACUCCAAAUUCCACAUAUUUAUUGAUCUCACUAUAAAGAACCUCCGUGUAAAACCAUGUGUUCUUUGUACAGUCCUGUUAAUGUGGAGUUGUUUGUACAGUAGCUGUAUGUACUUAUAUAAUGUGGCACUGUUAUAUAGUAUAUUGGUUUAUAUAGGUACCAUCACAGUAUGACUGUUCCAAAUAGACAUAAAAACUAUCAAUACCUGAGAUUGUUACUCAGCAGCUAACAUAUCGCAUUUCCAGAUACAAAUUAAUGUCGGUUAUUAGCAGUGGAUAACACUCUCUGGAAAUGAAUUGUGAUUUGCUGAAUUUGGAGCAUUCAGCAUGUAGAUUCCAUUUGUUUCCAUGGUGAUUGCUCCACUUUUAGUAUGUUGCUCCAUUCUUAUUUAAGCUAUGGGUCACUGUCCAUGCUGCCCGGUACCUGGCGUGAUCCAAGUAUUGCUGAGUAAUGUACUUUACCAGGACUGCUGAAGGUAUCCAUCCAGGGCUUUCCGUACCACGGCCCCCAGGUACCCGUUCUGUUCCGUGGCCCAUUUAGUCCAU